GCCCGGAUGGCGGAAUUGGUAGACGCGCUGGUCUCAAACACCAGUGGCCGCAAGGCUGUGCCGGUUCGAUCCCGGCUCCGGGUACGA
rnacentral:tRNA from 1 species